rnacentral:rRNA from 1 species
CCUACGGGCGGCAGCAGUGAGGAAUAUUGGUCAAUGGCCGAGAGUCUGAACCAGCCAAGCCGCGUGAGGGAUGAAGGCCCUAAGGGUUGUAAACCUCUUUUAUAAAGGAAUAAAACGAGGCACGUGUGCCUUUCUGCAUGUACUUUAUGAAUAAGGAUCGGCUAACUCCGUGCCAGCAGCCGCGGUAAUACGGAGGAUCCGAGCGUUAUCCGGAUUUAUUGGGUUUAAAGGGUGCGUAGAUGGGUUGUUAAGUCCGUUGUGAAAGUAUGCGGCUCAGCCGUAACAUGGCAAUUGAUACUGGCAGUCUUGAGUACAGUUGAGGUAGGCGGAAUUCGUGGUGUAGCGGUGAAAUGCUUAGAUAUCACGAAGAACCCCGAUUGCGAAGGCAGCUUACUAAACUGUGACUGACAUUGAUGCUCGAAAGUGUGGGUAUCAAACAGGAUUAGAUACCCCAGUAGUC